AUCACUGGUGUUCGGGUUGUCAUGCCAAUGGCACUGCCCGGUAGCUAAAUGCGGAAGAGAUAAGUGCAUCACUGGUGUUCGGGUUGUCAUGCCAAUGGCACUGCCCGGUAGCUAAAUGCGGAAGAGAUAAGUGCUGAAAGCAUCUAAGCACGAAACUUGCCCCGAGAUGAGUUCUCCCUGAGACUUUAAGUCUCCUGAAGGAACGUUGAAGACGACGACGUUGAUAGGCCGGGUGUGUAAGCGCAGCGAUGCGUUGAGCUAACCGGUACUAAUGAACCGUGAGGCUUAACCUUACAACGCCGAAG
rnacentral:rRNA from 1 species